CUCUCCAUCUAUUUCUCUCUCCCUCUCUGCCUCUCUCUCACUCUGCCUCUCCAUCUAUUUCUCUCUCCCUCUCUGCCUCUCUCUCACUCUGCCUCUCCAUCUAUUUCUCUCUCCCUCUCUGCCUCUCUCUCUGCUCUGCCUCUCCAUCUAUUUCUCUCUCCCUCUCUGCCUCUCUCUCACUCUGCCUCUCCAUCUAUUUCUCUCUCCCUCUCUGCCUCUCUCUCACUCUGCCGCUCCAUCUAUUUCUCUCUCCCUCUCUGCCUCUCUCUCACUCUGCCGCUCCAUCUAUUUCUCUCUCACUCUCUGCCUCUCCCUCACUCUGCCUCUCCAUCUAUUUCUCUCUCUUGCUCUCUGCCUCUCUCUCUGCUCGGCCUCCCUCUCUCUCACUCUGCCUCUCCAUCUAUUUCUCUCUCUUGCUCUCUGCCUCUCUCUCUGCUCUGCCUCUCUCUCUCUCUGUCUGUCUCGCUCUGUAUUCAAGGAGCUAGGCUUCCGGCUAUCUCAUAUAUCCUUGCUCCUGUUCUCAUUCCACAGUGUCAUAAUUACAUCAGGGUAACAAAGAGAUGCAUUUUGGGACUUCGGGGCAGAUCUGAGGGCAAAACAGUCACUGGUAAUUUAAUGCCAGCUUUAUACAAGAUGGCAAAUGGUGGCUUUGUAGCCCAAGUAAUUAUCCGUAGGGUGAGAUAAAAUGGCAACAGAGAGAGAUGGAGUUUUCUGUUUAGAUCAACUAGGAGUUUAAAAAAAACAUGCAAUUCAGAGUUCUGUGUUAUCUGUUUGUUUUGAGCUUCAUACACAACCAUCUCUUCCCACAUUUAGAUUCAAUCAGUUCAAGCGUUAACUGGCGAUAGCAGACACCUGCGUAGCGGAUGUUUUGGCGGUGUUGGACGUGGAACUGCGUUGUAGCCGUCAGAUAGGUGAGCAGCUGUGGUCAUUGUCACGAAGCCACACCUGCCCCACUCCAGAUAGAGGUUCAGAACGAGAAAGUGUAGGCUAUAUACUGUAGAAAUAAUUACACUCAAAUUGAAAAAUAAUUGUAUGAAAUAAUGAGGAUUUCUAUCAACCUUAUCUAGGUGUAGAUUUCAUCUCAUAUUCCAGUUUUUGAAUUUGUAAAGAAGGCUGCAUGGGAUUUCUGUUAAUGUGACUCCGUGCAGCAAUGGCAAUGUCCGCUUUAGGUGUAAUGCAGCCAAUGGCAAUGUCCGCUUUAGAUGUAAUGCAGCCAAUGGCAAUGUCCGCUUUAGGUGUAAUGCAACCAAUGGCAAUGUCCGCUUUAGAUGUAAUGCAGCCAAUGGCAAUGUCCGCUUUAGGUGUAAUGCAACCAAUGGCAAUGUCCGCUUUAGAUGUAAUGCAGCCAAUGGCAAUGUCCGCUUUAGGUGUAAUGCAACCAAUGGCAAUGUCCGCUUUAGGUGUAAUGCAACCAAUGGCAAUGUCCGCUUUAGGUGUAAUGCAACCAAUGGCAAUGUCCGCUUUAGGUGUAAUGCAACCAAUGGCAAUGUCCGCUUUAGGUGUAAUGCAGCCAAUGGCAAUGUCCGCUUUAGGUGUAAUGCCAGGAGACACUUGGGAUUUCAAAUCAAAUCUAAUCCAAUUUUACUUGUCAGAUGCGCCGAAUACAACAAGUGUAGACCUUACCGUGAAAUGCUUUCUUAACAAGCCCUUAACCAACAGUGCAGUUCAAGAAAUAGAGUUGAGAAACGAUUUACUAAAUAAACUAAAGUGAAAAAAACAACAACAAGCAAACGUCAAAAAAAUCAAAAAAGUAACAAGAAAAUGACAUGACAAUAAUGAGGCUAUAUACAGGGGGUACAGUCAAUGUGCGGGGGUACAGGUUAGUCCAGGUCACUUGUAAAGUGACUAUGAAUAGAUCAUUAACAGUGAGUA